rnacentral:rRNA from 1 species
UACCCGCAGCACAAGUGGUGGUCAUUAUUAUUGGGCCUAAAGCGUCCGUAGCUGGCUUGUUAGAUGCCUGGGUAAAUCGAUGCGCUCAACGCAUCGAACUCCGGGUAGACCGGCAAGCUUGGGACCGUGAGAGGCGUGAGCUACUCGAGGGGUAGGGGUAAAAUCCUGUAAUCCUUCGGGGAGGACCAGUGGCGAAGGCGUCACGCUAGAACGGCUCCGACAGUGAGGGACGAAGCCCUGGGGCGCAAACCGG